rnacentral:rRNA from 1 species
UACGGGGGGGGCAAGCGUUGUUCGGAAUUACUGGGCGUAAAGGGCUUGUAGGUGGCCAACUAAGUCCGACGUGAAAUCCCUAGGCUUAACCUAGGAACUGCGUCGGAUACUGGAUGGCUUGAAUCCGGGAGAGGGAUGCGGAAUUCCAGGUGUAGCGGUGAAAUGCGUAGAUAUCUGGGGGAACACCGGUGGCGAAGGCGGCAUCCUGGACCGGUAUUGACACUGAAAAGCGAAAGCCAGGGGAGCAAACGGG